rnacentral:rRNA from 1 species
UACGGAGGGGGCUAGCGUUGUUCGGAAUUACUGGGCGUAAAGCGCGCGUAGGCGGACCUGCAAGUCGGGGGUGAAAGCCCGAGGCUCAACCUCGGAACUGCCUUCGAUACUGCGGGUCUCGAGUCCGGGAGAGGUGAGUGGAAUUCCUAGUGUAGAGGUGAAAUGCGUAGAUAUCUGGAGGAAUACCGGUGGCGAAGGCGGCAUCCUGGACCGACAUUGACGCUGAUGAGCGAAAGCCAGGGGAGCAAACGGG